UCCUUGUAAAACCCUCUCUCUUUCUAAGGCCGACUUUGGCUCUCUCUCCAAAACCCCCGCACUCGCCUCCACAAGACCCUCAUUUUUGCCCAUUCUCAAAUCCUCUGAAUCCCAAGCUCCGGUCCUUGAGGUCGAAGCUGAUCAAACUCAGUCCCAACGUGAUCCUGAUGCUUCUGCUGCUGUUGUUGAUGUUGCCAAGGAAGAGCCCAAGCGUGAGGAGGUUUUUGCUGUUGUUAUGAUUGGAUCACGCCAGUAUAUUGUCAUCCCUGGG
rnacentral:misc_RNA from 1 species